rnacentral:rRNA from 1 species
GACGAACGCUGGCGGCGCGCCUAACACAUGCAAGUCGAACGGAGCUGAGAGAAGCUUGCUUUUCUUAGCUUAGUGGCGAACGGGUGAGUAACGCGUGAGUAACCUGCCCUGGAGUGGGGGACAACAGUUGGAAACGACUGCUAAUACCGCAUAAGCCCACGAUCCGGCAUCGGAUUGAGGGAAAAGGAUUUAUUCGCUUCAGGAUGGACUCGCGUCCAAUUAGCUAGUUGGUGAGGUAACGGCCCACCAAGGCGACGAUUGGUAGCCGGACUGAGAGGUUGAACGGCCACAUUGGGACUGAGACACGGUCCAGACUCCUACGGGAGGCAGCAGUGGGGGAUAUUGCACAAUGGGGGAAACCCUGAUGCAGCGACGCCGCGUGGAGGAAGAAGGUUUUCGGAUUGUAAACUCCUGUCGUUAGGGACGAUAAUGACGGUACCUAACAAGAAAGCACCGGCUAACUACGUG